UACGUAGGGGGCGAGCGUUGUCCGGAAUCAUUGGGCGUAAAGCGCGUGUAGGCGGCCCGGUAAGUCCGCUGUGAAAGUCCAGGGCUCAACCCUGGGAUGCCGGUGGAUACUGUCGGGCUCGAGUCCGGAAGAGGCGAGUGGAAUUCCUGGUGUAGCGGUGAAAUGCGCAGAUAUCAGGAGGAACACCGAUAGCGAAGGCAGCUCGCUGGGACGGUACUGACGCUGAGGCGCGAAAGCGUGGGGAGCGAACAGG
rnacentral:rRNA from 1 species